CCUACGGGCGGCAGCAGUGGGGAAUAUUGGACAAUGGGGGCAACCCUGAUCCAGCCAUGCCGCGUGUGUGAAGAAGGCCCUCGGGUUGUAAAGCACUUUCAGUGAGGAAGAACGCCUGGUGGUUAAUACCCAUCAGGAAAGACAUCACUCACAGAAGAAGCACCGGCUAACUCCGUGCCAGCAGCCGCGGUAAUACGGAGGGUGCGAGCGUUAAUCGGAAUUACUGGGCGUAAAGCGCGCGUAGGUGGCUUGAUAAGCCGGUUGUGAAAGCCCCGGGCUCAACCUGGGAACGGCAUCCGGAACUGUCAAGCUAGAGUGCAGGAGAGGAAGGUAGAAUUCCCGGUGUAGCGGUGAAAGGCGUAGAGAUCGGGAGGAAUACCAGUGGCGAAGGCGGCCUUCUGGACUGACACUGACACUGAGGUGCGAAAGCGUGGGUAGCAAACAGGAUUAGAUACCCUAGUAGUC
rnacentral:rRNA from 1 species